rnacentral:tRNA from 1 species
GCCCUCGUAGCCCAAUGGUAGGGCGUCAGACUUCUACUUCUCCGAAGUCGGACAUAAGUAGAUCUGAAGGUUGCGGGUUCGAGUCCCGCCGGGGGUA